UGAAAAUGAAAUGGAAAGCGGAAAGAAUCAAUCUUUAAGCCUUUAAACGAAAUGGGUGUUUGUGUCUGUGCCGUGUACGAUACAAUUGCCAAAAACGGAAAAGAAAGUAAUAUUAGUCGUCCGGAGCGACGCAAUAUAUAAGGUAUGUACUCCAAAGAAUUAUUGUUUGCGCUUAUGCUCCAAAGAAAUGGCAAAGAAAAACGACAUGGCUGAAAAUAGAAAUGGAAGGGAUGAAGGGAAGGAGGAGGUGGUUAAGGGGUGCGAGUGAGCAUUGUUUCUCUUUCUUUCUCUAACAGGCAGAUGCAGAGUGUGAGAGUAGCUCCAAAAACGCCCACCACAAGAAGCUCAGUGUACGUGUGUCUGGGACACAAUUGUCGGCAUUGAUUUCUGUACUGCUUGGCAUGGAAUUAAUGCCUUCUUUGGUUAUAGUGAAACGACUUCGUUUUUAGCAUGCAUUUUUCCCUAAAAAAUGUUAUAUUUAUGGAACAAAGCAGAGUGUUUCAAAAAGUUUUUGUUUUGUAAAUUAUCCUACUGAGGUAAAGAUGGGCUUUCCAGAUUCUAGUUUUUUUUUUUUUUUUUAACCGCCCCCUCCCCCCCCAAUUUCAUUCAGCAAAUGAGAUUUAUCCAUAAGCAUUAAUCUGGAAUUGAGCAUAACUUGGGGUUUCUCAUUGGCUGAAUCAAUUUCACCAUUAUCACCAAUUUCAGUGCUUAGAGUCCGCGUGUUGUGUUGCACAGAACUGGAAGCAUCAUCACCCUUAUAAUGUUCCUCUAGUGAAUUUCUCACUCCUUUAUUUUGCGUUUGAUCAUUUACCGAACUUACUUCCUCAACUCGAUUGCUUUUCUCUUCACUUUCUUGCUCUUCACCUCCCACAUCCCUCUCCCGAUCAUCUACAUCAAUCAAAUCUUCUACUUCAUCAGAUUCUUCCUCUUCUGCUCGAUCUUGAUCAUGUCCAUCAAUCUCAUCAUCUCCACCGCCUCUUCCAUCAUCUUCAACAUCUUCGGGCUUAAUCUCUUCAAUCUCUUCUUCAAAUUCUGCUUUAUCCCCUUGGCUUUCUGCCAAAGAAGUUGCUUCAUCAACUCGAGGAUGCAGGCCUUUCCUCCCAAGUUUUAUAUUUUCAUGCCCAUUUUGCUCCAUUUCUGAUAUAUUUCCAGUGCUAUCCUCAUAUUCCUUUUUCGCAUUGUACGAGUUCUUGAGUUGGUUAAGCAACCAGAAGCAAAUUGCAAGCAACAGACAUAUCUGAAGAAAAUGUUUCACCUUAAAGCCUCUGGACCUCAGAUUUCUAGUAGGUUGUAGCUUCAACAUACUCGCCUGCUAAAAUCUGUGUAAGUCCUUCCAAACUAUGAAUGCAAACAAAAACCAGAACAAACUAAAUCAAAACAAAAUAAACCAGAACAAUCAACAUAACUAAGGCAAGAUUAUUGUUUGUUUGGUCCCAAAUGACAAAACAAGGAACGGAUAUUGCACAUGGGCAAUACCUGAAUACCAUAUAACCCUGCAUCAUUAAGUUUGGAGGGCGAAAAAACAGAUAAACUCCAGCUUCUUCGCCUACUCAGUGGGCAAGAAAGAACUUGGCUACGUGUUUGGUGAUUAUUCAAUAACAUUAUAUCAUCAUGAAAUAUAGAUUGAGAUCUUUCAUUAUACGCAUCCAAUUAUAUAAGCACCAUAAUUAAGUUGAAAGGCAUUUGGAGCUGAAUUAGAAUACUGGAAGCAAGGGACAAGUAUUACCUUUCCAACUUCCAAGCACAAAAACUAGAAACUUGGCUCAAUCCCAGGUUCAUUUAUAGACAAACAGACAAAGUGCACAAAGCCAUAAUUGGAAAAACAGGAACUAAGGAUAGAGAAAAAGGCAAAGUAAGUAAGAUUACAAAAUUAAUCAGACAGAUACCGAAAUGAUUAGAACGAGCAAUCCAAUUAAAAGAUCAUAAAAUGCAGCAAAAUCGCAAAACUCAAACAAGAUCAUUGAAAAGAAAAGAAAUACAGGUGAGAGAGAAAAGAGGGUACCAGUAAGAAAACUGAACUUCAGAUCCGUGAAAAUGAAAUGGAAAGCGGAAAGAAUCAAUCUUUAAGCCUUUAAACGAAAUGGGUGUUUGUGUCUGUGCCGUGUACGAUACAAUUGCCAAAAACGGAAAAGAAAGUAAUAUUAGUCGUCCGGAGCGACGCAAUAUAUAAGGUAUGUACUCCAAAGAAUUAUUGUUUGCGCUUAUGCUCCAAAGAAAUGGCAAAGAAAAACGACAUGGCUGAAAAUAGAAAUGGAAGGGAUGAAGGGAAGGAGGAGGUGGUUAAGGGGUGCGAGUGAGCAUUGUUUCUCUUUCUUUCUCUAACAGGCAGAUGCAGAGUGUGAGAGUAGCUCCAAAAACGCCCACCACAAGAAGCUCAGUGUACGUGUGUCUGGG
rnacentral:lncRNA from 1 species